rnacentral:rRNA from 1 species
GGGCGUGGAUAAGACAUGCAAGUCGAACGAGAGAAUUGCUAGCUUGCUAAUAAUUCUCUAGUGGCGCACGGGUGAGUAACACGUGAGUAACCUGCCCCCGAGAGCGGGAUAGCCCUGGGAAACUGGGAUUAAUACCGCAUAGUAUCGAAAGAUUAAAGCAGCAAUGCGCUUGGGGAUGGGCUCGCGGCCUAUUAGUUAGUUGGUGAGGUAACGGCUCACCAAGGCGAUGACGGGUAGCCGGUCUGAGAGGAUGUCCGGCCACACUGGAACUGAGACACGGUCCAGACACCUACGGGUGGCAGCAGUCGAGAAUCAUUCACAAUGGGGGAAACCCUGAUGGUGCGACGCCGCGUGGGGGAAUGAAGGUCUUCGGAUUGUAAACCCCUGUCAUGUGGGAGCAAAUUAAAAAGAUAGUACCACAAGAGGAAGAGACGGCUAACUCUGUGCCAGCAGCCGCGGUAAUACAGAGGUCUCAAGCGUUGUUCGGAAUCACUGGGCGUAAAGCGUGCGUAGGCUGUUUCGUAAGUCGUGUGUGAAAGGCGCGGGCUCAACCCGCGGACGGCACAUGAUACUGCGAGACUAGAGUAAUGGAGGGGGAACCGGAAUUCUCGGUGUAGCAGUGAAAUGCGUAGAUAUCGAGAGGAACACUCGUGGCGAAGGCGGGUUCCUGGACAUUAACUGACGCUGAGGCACGAAGGCCAGGGGAGCGAAAGGGAUUAGAUACCCCUGUAGUCCUGGCAGUAAACGGUGCACGCUUGGUGUGCGGGGAAUCGACCCCCUGCGUGCCGGAGCUAACGCGUUAAGCGUGCCGCCUGGGGAGUACGGUCGCAAGAUUAAAACUCAAAGAAAUUGACGGGGACCCGCACAAGCGGUGGAGUAUGUGGCUUAAUUCGAUGCAACGCGAAGAACCUUACCUGGGCUUGACAUGUAAUGAACAACAUGUGAAAGCAUGCGACUCUUCGGAGGCGUUACACAGGUGCUGCAUGGCCGUCGUCAGCUCGUGUCGUGAGAUGUUUGGUUAAGUCCAGCAACGAGCGCAACCCCUGUUGCCAGUUACCAGCACGUGAAGGUGGGGACUCUGGCGAGACUGCCCAGAUCAACUGGGAGGAAGGUGGGGACGACGUCAGGUCAGUAUGGCCCUUAUGCCCAGGGCUGCACACGUACUACAAUGCCCAGUACAGAGGGGGCCGAAGCCGCGAGGCGGAGGAAAUCCUGAAAACUGGGCCCAGUUCGGACUGUAGGCUGCAACCCGCCUACACGAAGCCGGAAUCGCUAGUAAUGGCGCAUCAGCUACGGCGCCGUGAAUACGUUCCCGGGUCUUGUACU